rnacentral:rRNA from 1 species
CCCAGUUCGGACUGGAGUCUGCAACCCGACUCCACGAAGUUGGAUUCGCUAGUAAUCGCGCAUCAGCCAUGGCGCGGUGAAUACGUUCCCGGGCCUUGUACACACCGCCCGUCAAGCCAUGGGAGCCGGGGGCGCCUGAAGUCCCGGGACCGCGAGGACCGGCCUAGGGCGAAACUGGUAACUGGGGCUAAGUCGUAACAAGGUAGC